rnacentral:rRNA from 1 species
CCCUUAGAUGUUCUGGGCCGCACGCGCGCUACACUGAUGCAUUCAACGAGUUUUUCCUUGGCCGAGAGGCCUGGGCAAUCUUUUAAACGUGCAUCGUGAUAGGGAUAGAUUAUUGCAAUUAUUAAUCUUGAACGAGGAAUUCCUAGUAAACGCAGAUCAUCAAUCUGCAUUGAUUACGUCCCCGCCCUUUGUACACACCGCCCGUCGCACCUACCGAUUGAAUGGUCCGGUGAAGCCUCGGGAUUGUGGCGAGUUCCCUUUAUUGGGAGUUUGUCGCGAGAACUUGUCUAAACCUUAUCAUUUAGAGGAAGGUGAAGUCGUAACA